GCAUAGUACCAGGUCUCUCCUGUCUGAAAGCUGGUCGGUCAUAGUUACAGCUUGUGUUAAGCUGUCGUAAAUAUCGUCUACCAUGGCAGUUGUCUCCUCUUUAAGUGUUUACUUGAUUAGCAUCUUCUUGAUUAGCAGUGGGAUGGGGGUUCCACUUGCAAGAUAUGGCUAUCCAUCAUCUAGUGACGAUGCUCUGGACCAAUACUGGUCCAACCUUGGAUACCUCAUUGAGCCAAGGGCAAACAAGAUGUCUGCUCUCGCCCAAGCUUCCUCCUCGGCCUCCAUGUCCCAACAGGGAUCCAGUGAGGCAGAUGCACCACAAGGAAAGGGAGUAUCUAAAGUUGGAGAUUGGUCUUUUACUUCAAGCGGAGGAAACCCUCGAUCUCAGGACCAGACCGGCUGGAACAUGGGAGGAAAGUCUGAGAUGGCAGCUGUUUACCAGCAGGCUGACGGGUCACCAAGUUUCAUUGUCCAGACCAGCAGUGGUUACAAACGGUCCAGACUGAGUGGCACCACAGACGAAUACUCCCUCAUCAAAGGUCUUCAUGAAUAUGGUAUUAAUCCUGAAGACUUCUAGAUGUCAAGCUCUACCAAGGAUCAGAUUUUGAAAUGUGGGCGGAAAACCUUUCCCUCGGCAACGUCCUGCAAAAAUGUCUUGCCUGUUUUCAAUAUUGUUCAACACAUAAAGUGAGAUGUAACUCA